rnacentral:rRNA from 1 species
UACGUAGGGGGCUAGCGUUGCUCGGAAUCACUGGGCGUAAAGCGCAUGUAGGCGGAUUGUUAAGUCAGGGGUGAAAUCCUGGAGCUCAACUCCAGAACUGCCUUUGAUACUGGCGAUCUCGAGUCCGGGAGAGGUGAGUGGAACUGCGAGUGUAGAGGUGAAAUUCGUAGAUAUUCGCAAGAACACCAGUGGCGAAGGCGGCUGACUGGUCCGGUUCUGACGCUGAGGCGCGAAAGCGUGGGGAGCAAACAGG